UACGGAAGGCAGCAGUGGGGAAUAUUGGACAAUGGGCGGAAGCCUGAUCCAGCCAUGCCGCGUGUGUGAAGAAGGCCUUUUGGUUGUAAAGCACUUUAAGCGAGGAGGAGGCUCUCCUAGUUAAUACCUAGGAAGAGUGGACGUUACUCGCAGAAUAAGCACCGGCUAACUCUGUGCCAGCAGCCGCGGUAAUACAGAGGGUGCGAGCGUUAAUCGGAUUUACUGGGCGUAAAGCGUGCGUAGGCGGCUGAUUAAGUCGGAUGUGAAAUCCCUGAGCUUAACUUAGGAAUUGCAUUCGAUACUGGUCAGCUAGAGUAUGGGAGAGGAUGGUAGAAUUCCAGGUGUAGCGGUGAAAUGCGUAGAGAUCUGGAGGAAUACCGAUGGCGAAGGCAGCCAUCUGGGCCUAAUACUGACGCUGAGGUCGAAAGCAUGGGGAAGCAAACGAAGGAAUUAAGAAUAACC
rnacentral:rRNA from 1 species